rnacentral:rRNA from 1 species
CCUACGGGAGGCAGCAGUGGGGAAUAUUGCUCAAUGGGGGAAACCCUGAAGCAGCAACGCCGCGUGGAGGAUGAAGGUUUUCGGGGUGUAAACUCCUUUUGUUAGAGAAGAUAAUGACGGUAUCUAACGAAUAAGCCCCGGCUAACUCCGUGCCAGCAGCCGCGGUAAUACGGAGGGUGCAAGCGUUACUCGGAGUCACUGGGCGUAAAGGGCGCGUAGGCGGGAUAGCAAGUCAGAUGUGAAAUCCUAUGGCUUAACCAUAGAACUGCAUUUGAAACUGUUAUUCUAGAGUACGGGAGAGGUAGGCGGAAUUCUUGGUGUAGGGGUAAAAUCCGUAGAGAUCAAGAGGAACACUGAUUGCGAAGGCGACCUGCUAGAAUAUAACUGACGCUGAUGCGCGAAAGCGUGGGGAGCAAACAGGAUUAGAUACCCCAGUAGUC